rnacentral:lncRNA from 1 species
CGCCGGUGCGCUCUUCAUUUCGCUCGCGGUCGGGAAUCGGGAUCCACCUAUCCCCGUACAUGGAUUCUCCAAGAUGGGAGAGCCACGGGGAUAGAGACAGGCGGGGAUAUAGAUCGACAUACCAGAUGCAUUCCCAAGGCUGAGUAGGCAGCGGCCCGCCAUGGUCCUGCGGAGGCACGGAGCGCCGGAGCUGUGACUACAUGGAUUCUCCAAGAUGGGAGAGCCACGGGGAUAGAGACAGGCGGGGAUAUAGAUCGACAUACCAGAUGGAUUCCCAAGGCUGAGUAGGCGGCGGCCCGCCAUGGUCCUGCGGAGGCACGGAGCGCCGGAGCUGUGACACCACGCGAUGGCCGGGACAGGGGCAUAGGGUGGGGCGGCGCGACGGCGAUGUUGUCGUCUCCUUGUUGCCCUAUUCCGGCGGAGGUGGUUCG